rnacentral:rRNA from 1 species
UACGUAGGUGGCAAGCGUUGUCCGGAUUUACUGGGCGUAAAGGAUGCGUAGGCGGACAUUUAAGUCAGAUGUGAAAUACCCGAGCUUAACUUGGGUGCUGCAUUUGAAACUGGGUGUCUAGAGUGCAGGAGAGGUAAGUGGAAUUCCUAGUGUAGCGGUGAAAUGCGUAGAGAUUAGGAAGAACACCAGUGGCGAAGGCGGCUUACUGGACUGUAACUGACGCUGAGGCAUGAAAGCGUGGGGAGCAAACAGG